GGACGGUUAACUCAGUUGGUAGAGUGGCUGGCUGUUAACCAGUAUGUCGCAAGUUCGAUCCUUGCACCGUCCGCCA
rnacentral:tRNA from 2 species